rnacentral:snoRNA from 1 species
AACCUCCAGUAUCCUUAACCCUCUGAUCUAAACAUUAGCCUGAGUGGCUGUAAAAGGAGGAAAAGUAAAACUGAAACAGACUUGAAUUCUUUUAUGACAUACAAGUUGGUUUCAAAUAAUA